rnacentral:lncRNA from 1 species
GCGGAGCUGGCCCCCUGCCUCCGGAUGAAGCAGAAGGGCACCAGUGUGCCCAAAGGGCUGGACUUGGAGGAGCAGGAUCAGUGAGUGGCGGGCUGAGGGGGGCGGUGGGCCAGGGGUGCUGCUGCUGGGCCUGCCUGCCUGCCCUGCCUGGGUCAGCAGUGCGCUCGAGAGGCCUGGCCUAGCUGUGGGCAGUGGGCUCAAGCCAGGUCAGGGGUGGCCAGUGAAGAUUGCAGGGCAUGCUCGUGGAGUCAGCGCGGGGCUGCAUGUCCCCUGCGGGCAGUUGUUGCAGGGGGUGUCGAAGCCGUGGCCACUGUUAAGCUGGAUUGCUGCCCCCCAGCCCUUUCAUGCUGACCCUCCUUGGGGGCUUGGCUCUGCCCCGUGCUGCUGUUCCAGUGCAGUCUCUGCGUGCCCGGGUGCCCUAGUAUCCCCGUGCGCAUCCUGGCUGCGCCUGCGCAUAACCCUGGGACCGAGGGGGUUGGGGGGGAGGCGCACCCCCUGGGCUCACUGUCCUCCCGGCUCAGGCCUGCCCCCUAGGAUCCUACCCCCCAAGAGCCGACGUUUCCUGUGUUGGGAGAAACCCUCCCCACCCCCACGCCAUGGUGAGGGUCCCCGCCUGGAACCUCGUGUCCCUCCCAGUUAGGAGGGCCAGCACCUGGGUGGCUUCUAGGGCGAGAGACAUGUUUCAUGCUCCGGUGGCUCCAGGCUGGAGACGCGUGGCCGGGGACUCCAGGUCUCUGUCCGUGUCUGAGCGUCUGCCACAUGCCGCCGCCCAGGGCUCUGAUGGCAGCUCUGAUGACUGCCCGCGUGGCUCCCCCGCAGGAUUCCCUUCUUCAAGUUCUGCUGCCAGUGCGGCCGCUCCGUCGGGGUGCGCCUCUCGCCCUGCGCCCGCUGCUACGGGAUCCUGACCUGCAGCAAGUACUGCAAGAACAGAGCCUGGAGCGACUUCCACAAGAGGGACUGCGGCUCCCUGAUGGCCAUUGGGAAAACACACUUGAUGCCGUCCAUCAAGAAACCCUUGAGGCGUCUGGGCAAUGAGCCCCAGAAGCCUGAGACCCUGCAGCUGCUUCGUCAGUCAAGGAGGCGCAGGGCCAGCAGGUCCGGGACCACCCAGGACUGCGGGUGAGCAUGCAGUUGCUGCUCGGCAGGCAUGCGGGGAGCCUGUGCUGCCCCCAGGCCCGAGGGGAGCCGCAGCCCUGCAGGACACCCCUCCGUGGAGCUGCACUGUCCCCCCGCCCCCACCCCGCCUAUGCUGGGGUCCCAGCCCCUGGGCCCUCAGCACUCCAAGCCCUGGGUGACCGACAGGCACUGCUGAAUAUUUGCUGGCAGACCAGUGCUGGCUGCAACCCCAAAUAAAGUGACCCUCAGUGGCUCA